AAUCAACGCUGGCGGCGUGCCUAACACAUGCAAGUCGAACGCGAAAGGGGCUUCGGCCCUGAGUAGAGUGGCAAACGGGUGAGUAACACGUGGGUGACCUGCCUUCGAGUGGGGGAUAAC
rnacentral:rRNA from 1 species